ACAGCAGGAGCCGUGAGGCAAGAAGCUCUGGGAUCAAUUAAAAUGCCAGGCUUUUCCAGGCUGGUUUCCAGCGCAUCUGUGCAUGAUUCCACAUAAAUUUAGGGAAUUAGAGAUCAGACAAAGUUAUAAGACAGCUGUUGAUGUCCCACUCACCAGUUAGGAGGAUUGAGAAGAAGCUGCUUUCCAGGAAAUCCCAGUCAACUUCCAAAUAGAUCUCUUUGGUCAAAAAUGUGUCACAGCUCCAACUCUUUUUUUGUAAGUUGCUGUUAUACAAAGAGGAAUGAAUUCAUCAUCAAACAUCUGUACUUCAAUGUCAACAUGUGGUUCAAUAGCAAACAAGUGAUUCCAUGAUUUAAAUGAAGAGCUAGCAGGUUUGAAUUUUAUGUUGAAUCAGUUUCUAGAAUUUCUUCUAAAAUUUGAGCCAACAAUUCUGGGAAAAUCAUCUGCGAUGGUGAACACAGGCAGGGGCCACAUCUGACUUACCUCUAGCUCCAGGUACUGAAGAGCCACUGGGGAGAGCUCAGUCAUGUAAUCCAAUACUAUCUAAGUGAAGAGCCUAGCCUUGGAGGAGCAGAGCAGGAAGACUAUUUCAAAAAGUAGAUGAAAGUAGGAGAGCUGAGUAUGCAAUUUUUGUGUUGUGCAGAACACGUGUUGGGAUGUCAAAGAUCACAAUGUUCUACAGAGCAAUUAGGGGAAUCACUUUUGGUCCAAUUUCAGCACUUUACAAAAUAGUUUAACAAAGUUCUAAGGAAUGAAGGUCUUCUCCAAGGCCAUCCUCAGCGAGGUAAUCAGUGAGUGGCAGACAUGGGAGCUGACGCCUCUUGGUCAUGCCCUGGACCUAGUAAAGUGGAGUAGCUUUACAGGUAUACCAGGUGUUUGCUAAUGAUCACUUCUUUUUUUUUUUAAGACUGAGUUUUGCUCUUGUUGCCCAGGCUGGAGUGCAAUGGUGUGAUCUCAGCUCACUGCAAACUCCGUCUUCUGGGUUCAAGUGAUUCUCCUGCCUCAGCCUCCCAAGUAGCUGGGAUUACAUGCACCGCCACACCUGGCAAUUUUUUUGUAUUUAUUUGAGAUGGAGUUUCACCAUGUUGGUCAGGCUGGUCUCGAACUCCUGACCUCAGGUGAUCGACCCGCCUCAGCCCCACAAAGUGCUGGGAUUACAGGCAUGUGCCACCACAUCCGGCCAAUGAUCAAACGUUUUACAGAAGUUUUUAAAGAGCCACACCAGUGGAAACAUUCAUAACACCUUACCACCCAAAUUAACAUCAACUCAAAAGUUAUGUUUGGCCCACAGAGAAUUAAUACAAAGAAAUAUCUACGAGAAAACCUCAAAAAUUUCACAUCUAAGGCAAAAGCCAGAGAUUACAGAGUUAACAUAUUUUUGGAGCUGAGGGGGAAAGUCUCUCAGCUUAGAUCUUCUGAACCAGAGCUCUACACCUUUCUGCAAAAGAUCAUUUCCCCUGCUAAAAACCUGGCAAUAAGAACCUCCUUUUUUUGGUGGGAGGUAUUAUUUGGCCAAAAGUGAGAUUUCAGCCAGAAACAUGGGGAAACUGAACUUGUUGUUAAGCCACUGAAGACACCUCUUUCCUUUGAAAUAACUUAUUCUGACUGAUGCUAAAGGCGCUGGUAGAAUUUCCUUCCCUUCAUAAAAUCACUGUAGUUGCAAUGAUAGCUCUGAAGUUGUGGGAGUAAAGAUCUGCUAAAACAUCAUUUGGAUUUAAUCACAAUACCAGAGGAAAAGAAUAAAAGCUGUGUUUUUUUUUUUUUCAACAACAGCAAACUGCUGGAUGGAUAUUGCCAGAAAUUAAUUGAUCAAGAAAAGCUCCUAGAAAUCUUUUUUUUUUUUCAAAACGUACCUUUUGCGACAGCUUCAAACUUGAUCUCUGAGCUCCAGUGAAGCACAAAUUACUGUGUGGCAUUUUAUCUCACAGAUUAGAGAAGGUCCUAAAUAGCAUGCUGUGCCUUUCUUAAAAUGCUGUCCCCAAUCAAGUUUUUUUUUUUAAUCUUCUUUGAAAUUUCUCAUAUUGCAUUGGGUUCUUCACCCAAAGGAAAUGACAUUUUUAGUUAAAAAGUAAUAAAGUAUAAUUAAAACAUAAAUAAUUUAAAAAGAUUUUGAUAUAAGCCUGAAAAUGGGCAUGUGAAUAAAUUUGCACCAUGUCCCAGGAAGUACAUUGGUAGACAUAUUUGGGAAGGAUGAAUUCACUGCCUGGAGGGGUCCAGACAUAAUGGCUAGUACCCCAAGUUCUCCAAGUACUCCCUUGAGGUUUCCAGAUAAACUGCUUUUUUAGUCAAAGAGCCUCUACAGAAAGCCUGCUGCUGCAUUGCCUCAUGGAGAAGAGAGAGCCCCACCACUUCUAGUCAGCUGCAAAAGCCAGGAGUCCCACCACUUCUAGUCAGCUGCAGAAGCCAGAAGUCCCACCACUUUUAGUCAGCUGCAGAAGCACUCUCUCUGCCUCAGCAAACACAAGUAACUGCAGUAUCUAACCAGAGAGGACCUUCCUACAAAACAGGAGGUGAAAUUAGGAUAAACAGGACUUGGGAAAAUAAUUGAUUUUACAGAAUGUGGCUGCUGUAAUAAAUGGCUUCCUUGGAGGACCUAAAAUACAGAGGGGAAGCCGCAACUAGAAUACGGACAGAAGCAGUAGACCUGAACCUGGAAGCCUACAAACCCUUUUUCUGGUAACAUUCAUUCACAUAUCCACCUCCCUUCCUCUCCCUGCAAUAGGAUACACACAAAGGGGCUACUUGUCAAAUAGCAACAAUUAUACAAUGACUAAGCAUCGUUGUCUGCGUUCCACAUUAAAAUGUGAUUUAAAAAUAAAAUCUAAUUGGAGG